UCCAGCAUGUUUUAUCUCCCUGCUCUCCCACCCCGGUUUGCUUCUGUGGUUACCAAAACAUCCAAGCAGCUUCCUUUCCUAGCAACUCGCCAUGAAUGCAAACCGUUCUUCCCUGCAUACAGCAUGCAAAUGAAAAUAAUCAGUCGUGGAAGGAAAUUAUCCAGAUAACUUGAACCGAAGAAUUUUAAAAGUGCUGUCUGAGGAGAUUGCUGGACUAUUAAUGUUGAUUUCCAAUAAAUCCUGGAGUAUUGGGGAAGUUCCCAAAGGCUGGAAGGAAGCUAAUGUUGUGCCAGUUUUUAAAGAGGGUAAACAGGAUAGCCCAGGUAAUGAUAGCCCUGUCAGCAUGACGUUGAUCCUGGGCAAGAUAAUGGAGUGGCUGGCACAGGACUUGAUUAAUAAAGAACUAAAAGAGAAUAACAUAACAGAGUGUUAUGGAAAAUAUA